AUUGAACGCUGGCGGCAGGCCUAACACAUGCAAGUCGAACGAGUGGCGGACGGGUGAGAUAUGUCUGGGACAAUGACCGAUGGAGGAGGACACCUACUGGUAACUGAUACUACUAACGCCUACCAUCAGCUGUGCCCAGAUGGGUUUAGCUUGUUGGUGGGGUACCGGCUCACCACGGCGACGAUCCCUAGCUGGUCUGAGAGGAUGACCAGCCACACGGGAACUGAGACACGGUCCAGACUCCUACGGGAGGCAGCAGUGGGGAAUAUUGCACAAUGGGGGAAAGCCUGAUGCAGCCAUGCCGCGUGUAUGAAGAAGGCCUUCGGGUUGUAAAGUACUUUCGGCGGGAAGGCGUUACCCGCAGAAUAAGCACCGGCUAACUCCGUGCCAGCAGCCGCGGUAAUUC
rnacentral:rRNA from 1 species